AACGAACGCUGGCGGCAGGCCUAACACAUGCAAGUCGAGCGAGGACUUCGGUUCUAGCGGCGGACGGGUGUGUAACGCGUGGGAAUGUGCCCUUCUCUACGGAAUAGCCCUGGGAAACUGGGAGUAAUACCGUAUACGCCCUAUUGGGGAAAGAUUUAUCGGAGAAGGAUCAGCCCGCGUUGGAUUAGGUAGUUGGUGGGGUAAUGGCCUACCAAGCCGACGAUCCAUAGCUGGUUUGAGAGGAUGAUCAGCCACACUGGGACUGAGACACGGCCCAGACUCCUACGGGAGGCAGCAGUGGGGAAUCUUAGACAAUGGGGGCAACCCUGAUCUAGCCAUGCCGCGUGAGUGAUGAAGGCCUUAGGGUUGUAAAGCUCUUUCAGCUGGGAAGAUAAUGACGGUACCAGCAGAAGAAGCCCCGGCUAACUCCGUG
rnacentral:rRNA from 1 species